AUUGAACGCUGGCGGCAGGCUUAACACAUGCAAGUCGAGCGGGGUGAUGGUGCUUGCACUAUCACUUAGCGGCGGACGGGUGAGUAAUGCUUAGGAAUCUGCCUAUUAGUGGGGGACAACAUCUCGAAAGGGAUGCUAAUACCGCAUACGUCCUACGGGAGAAAGCAGGGGAUCACUUGUGACCUUGCGCUAAUAGAUGGGCCUAAGUCGGAUUAGCUAGUUGGUGGGGUAAAGGCCUACCAAGGCGACGAUCUGUAGCGGGUCUGAGAGGAUGAUCCGCCACACUGGGACUGAGACACGGCCCAGACUCCUACGGGAGGCAGCAGUGGGGAAUAUUGGACAAUGGGGGGAACCCUGAUCCAGCCAUGCCGCGUGUGUGAAGAAGGCCUUAUGGUUGUAAAGCACUUUAAGCGAGAGGAGGCUCUUUUGGUUAAUACCCAAGAUGAGUGGACGUUACUCGCAGAAUAAGCACCAGCUAACUCUGUGCCAGCCGCCGCCGUAA
rnacentral:rRNA from 1 species